rnacentral:rRNA from 2 species
AAACUUUCAACAACGGAUCUCUUGGUUCCAGCAUCGAUGAAGAACGCAGCGAAAUGCGAUAAGUAAUGUGAAUUGCAGAAUUCAGUGAAUCAUCGAAUCUUUGAACGCACAUUGCGCCCCUCGGUAUUCCGGGGGGCAUGCCUGUUCGAGCGUCAUUA